rnacentral:snRNA from 1 species
GUGCUUGCUUCGGCAGCACAUAUACUAAAACUGGAAUGAUACAGAGAAGAUUAGCAUGGCCCCUGUGCAAGGAUGACAUGCAAAUUCAUGAAGCAUUCCAUAUUUUU